CCGUCCCGCGAGGUCCUUCGCCGGGCGGCGGGAGCUAGACGAGCACGCAGGGCACCCCUCGGGCUCCCGGGAGGCGGCCCUGGGCGUCCCCUUUCUGCCGCCGCCGCGGCCCCGGCUGCUUUCUGCGUAGCUGGGCAGGGCCCGGGCCCCCACAUCGCCUCUCUCGGGAAUGCGGGCGCUCUGGAGCCGGGGAGCCGGGGCGACCGCAGGGAGGGCAGCUCUCCGGGGUGGAGGUCCUCGGGCGCCGCGCCCUCGCCUGGAAACCAGCCGUCGCCCCCGCAGGAGUCAGCCGGCGUGGACGCCCCAGCACGCUCCUUCUUGGUGCUGCCGGUCGCCCUGCAAUUCCGAGAAGAAAGUCAGAGACGCCGUGGCCCACAGAGGCGCUUAGUUUUCCUCGCUCACACUCACGUUGCUUCCUCAUCGCGUUCUUCUUUUUCUCCCUGGGUGCUUUCUCUCCUCUCCAGGAAAGCGGAUUUGGAGGAACAGGUUUCGUGACUGUCAUCCAACUGGAAAAGGCCCCGCGAGCUGGAAGGGGGGGCGGGGGGGGGGACGGGUGCACCCUCAGAGUUAUUGCUGGAGGCUGUGGCCAGGCCGGGCAAUGUGGUGACUUCCGCUGGCAGGCUGAGGCCCACCCCAGCCCUCCCACCUGGGCCACGGGGCUCUCAGCGGGAGCCCCAGUUAUGACCGGACACCAGCGCACCGCCAAGGAGACAGCCACGUGGGGACAUGCCGGGCUAGCAGGGUCAGAGCCACUUUGAGGACUAGUGACCUCGGUUCCCUGGCUUAACCAGGUCCUUAUGGGUGAGAAUCCUGAAGAGGGGGAGAGGGAUGGAGGCGAGGGACAGUAGGCAGGAGGAGCUGAUGAAUAGGAAGGAGGAAGAAGAUGAAAUAAACAAGAAAGAAAGAAAUUACGUUCAGAGCGCUGCUCACCUUUUCCAUGUCUUCUGCACCUUCAUAGCCUUCAAAGGUGUCCAUGGAGCUAAACUCCCUGCUGGAGCAGCCUUGGGGAAAGAAAGGAAAGGAUGGGGCCUCUCUGGGGUGGGAGGACAGCCCCUCUGCCCAUGGCAGGGUGUAGCA
rnacentral:lncRNA from 1 species